GGGCCCGCACAAGCGGUGGAGCAUGUGGAUUAAUUCGAAGCAACGCGAAGAACCUUACCUAGCCUUGACAUCCUUGGAACCUGCCCCCAAAAGGCGGGGUGCCCCUCGGGGAAUCAAGUGACAGGUGCUGCAUGGCUGUCGUCAGCUCGUGUCGUGAGAUGUUGGGUUAAGUCCCGCAACGAGCGCAACCCUUGUCUUUAGUUGCCAGCAUUUAGUUGGGCACUCUAGAGAGACUGCCGGUGUCAAGCCGGAGAAGGUGGGGACGACGUCAAGUCAUCAUGGCCCUUACGGCUAGGGCUUCACACGUGCUACAAUGGACGGUACAAAGGGUAGCGAAGCCGCGAGGUG
rnacentral:rRNA from 1 species